CAGGAAGCUCAGAAGGAGCACUGAUCCCUGGCCUAUCAUUAGCAUUAUAGCAUUACUACCACUGAUCCCUGGCCUAUCAUUAGCAUUAUAGCAUUACUACCACUGAUCCCUAGAUCCCUGGCCUAUCAUUAGCAUUACAACCACUGAUCCCUGGCCUAUCAUUAGCAUUAUAGCAUUACUACCACUGAUCCCUAGCCUAUCAUUAGCAUUACAGCAUUACUACCACUGAUCCCUAGCCUAUCAUUAGCAUUACAGCAUUACUACCACUGAUCAUUAGCAUUACUACCACUGAUCCCUAGCCUAUCAUUAGCAUUACUACAAGAGAGAAGCCAUCAUCUAUACAGUAGCAUCACCAGGCUCCCCACUGCCUGAGUCCCACAUGGCCCCCUAUUCCCUUCACAGUGCACUCCUUUAACCAGGUUCAUUUUCAAAUGAACAAAAACAAUCCUCACAUUAUCCUUGAAUAAGUUUUACGAGUACCAAUUCAGCGCAACGACACCCACACUGCUCAAGUCAUAGGCACCUUUUUUAUCCAAAUGAUGUUGGUAGAAGACUGCCUCAGUAGGCAUGGUAGUCUAUAGACUGCUAUGGGUACUUGGUAAUUGGCUGGUCUUCAGUAG
rnacentral:lncRNA from 1 species